GUAGGGUGCGAGCGUUAAUCGGAAUUACUGGGCGUAAAGGGUGCGCAGGCGGCGUCGCAAGUCAGGCGUGAAAUCCCCGGGCUUAACCUGGGAAUGGCACUUGAAACUACGAUGCUGGAGUAUGGCAGAGGGAGGUGGAAUUCCACGUGUAGCGGUGAAAUGCGUAGAGAUGUGGAGGAACACCGAUGGCGAAGGCAGCCUCCUGGGCCAAUACUGACGCUCAUGCACGAAAGCGUGGGGAGCAAACAGGAUUAGAUACCCUGGUAGUCCACGCCCUAAACGAUGAUGACUAGUUGUUGGAGGAGUUAAAUCCUUUAGUAACGCAGCUAACGCGAGAAGUCAUCCGCCUGGGGAGUACGGUCGCAAGAUUA
rnacentral:rRNA from 1 species